GGUUGAUUUCAUGUGCAGCAAUCAAAUUUCCAAAACAAGUUAGAAAGAGUCAGGUUUUUAGGUCUUUAUAAUAUCAACAUAUACGAUAUUACUAGUAAGCUAAUAUGACUGCUUCUAUAUAAUAUGAUCUCAAUAAAGAACGCAAGCUUAUCUAUAAAUUUCAUUUACAUAAUAUCUAAUUCUUUGGAUUGUGGACAACAACUAGCAUUCCAUAAUUCAAAACCAGAGUCAGGAAAUCGUGUAUAAAUCGACAUUUUAAAUAUCUAAUCAUAUUUGAUUAGCUACUGGUAUUAAUUAAUAAGCAUCCACCUAUCAAACAUAAACAUACAUGUGCACACUAGUAUCACAGGCAUCAUAAUUAACAUAUUGAAUUAACAGGUUUGCGCAUAGAACAGUAACAUAUAUGCUUCAUUUGGUGGGUGGAGGUGUGCGUGUUGGGGGGAGGGGGGUGUGGGCUGCAGGGGACAGUUUUACAUUACUUUCUUUGCUCGGCCAACAAAUAAGCAUCCGAGGUCAGGAUCCAUGUUAGUUAGGAGCAGAUAUCAACAUUUCUUGUCUUCCUUUUUGUUUAAAGCAUUUACUAGCCUAGGGAGACCAUGGGGGAUUUCUGCUCGGUUGCAUGAGCUUAAUCCAGAUGACUAAUAAGGUUAGUGUUUCUGCUCAUCAGCUGUCUUCCUGGAUUCCAGGGAUUGCCCUUCAAUGCCCAAAAUUCUUUGCAGUUGACAUCUGGUUUGGGACUUGCAAAAAACUCUUAAUCACAAUUGGCAUCUUGUUGCAUGUUAAGCUUACGUAAAAGUAAACCUAGCCAUGGGUCUCUAGAAACUUCCUUAGGCACUUUGUUUGAGUUACUUUAUACUAAAUUUGUUUGCUUAUAUACAAGAGCCCAACAUCCAAAAACUUCCUUAGGCACUUUGUUUGUUUUAUGUAAACAUUUACUAUGCUAUUUGGUGCAAGGCUCUUUGGUGGAACACAUCUUGUAAUCUUCCUUUUUUCAUCAACAAGAGUAAUUACAGAGUACAACAAUGACAUAAAAUAUUCUAAAUGUCCAAUUUGUAUUAAAAAAAUUGACAUCCUCUAACCUGUAAUGACCUUUUUGGAAUUUAUAUUGAGAAAAGGUACGGGGUCGCUGUCAGCCUUUCUUCCUGGUAACAUGCAUUUUGCAUUCUUCAUUUUCCCUUUACCAUCUUGUAUACCAUCUGGUUAUGUAACUGCAUCUUGUUAAAUGAUUAUUUACCGAUAAACAAUUUGAUGCAAAUUGAGUCUAAGUGUUUGGCACUCGUUGAAGUUUAUGCCUUUAUGCAUGCUGCUUACUACAUAGUUGACCAUUUGUCAGAUGUAUUUAAUUAGUGUUAUACAUUAAUUUUAUUCUAAUGUUGUUCUGAAUCUUGAUGAAUAUUAGGUAUUACACUGGAUAUCCAAAGGAUAUUGGACCUUCGCGGGUUAUCCAUUUUACCUCAGAGCGUCAGUUUGUUCAGCUUCUGCAUGAAGGCCAUCCUGUGGUUGUUGCAUUUACUAUAAGGUUAUUUUGUAUAUGUUAAUUAUUUAGUUUAUCUUGAGAUUACUACUGGAUUCAAAAGAAAAGGGAAAAAAGAAUGAUCCUCCUCCCUCUCUGUGAGUCUAUAUCCAGUUUUUCCACCAGCAUCUAAACUAAAUCCUUAAUUAAUGCUCCACUGGAAACUAAUUCUUGAUAGGAGGGUUUUGGACUGGCCUAUGACAUGAUAGAAAAUUGCAUCAAUUGGAUAUGUCAUUUUCCCUUGAUGUUCAAUCAAAAGAGUAACUGUAUUAUGAACAUAAGGAUUUGGAGGUAAUCAAUUCAUUGGGUUGGUGUGCAAAUCCAGUAAAUGCAGGAAAUUGUAGUACUGCAUGCAUGCAUUGGCAUACUAUAUGACUUAUUUUUGUAGCUUGAUGCAUAUUUUACAUAUUUUAUUGUAGGGUUCCCUAUACGAAGCAUCUCGAUAGAGUAUUGGAGGAGGCCGCUGCUGAGUUUUAUCCCCAUAUAAAAUUCAUGCAUGUAAGACUACUAUCUAGCAAGUUCUGCAUAUGUUACUUUUAGACAUUUUUUAUAGCUUGCUCAUUGAGGAAUAUCAAUAUUAUUCUUCUUUAUAGCUUGCUCGUUGGGAAUAUUAAUAUUAUCCUAUAUCAUAAUGCUGUUUUUUUUAUACUUCAUUUCCACCGAUUACCUAACUUAGCCAGUGCUGCUUUUUUGCUUAGCUGCAUUUAUGUAUCAAGAUCUUUGUUUUUUGUUUAGGAAUAUCAAGACAUAAUGGGAGUUUAUGCUUUCAGGCAGUUUAUGAUAUUCUUUCAUUUCUUGCAUUCCAAACACUUCAAUACAUGUAAUUUCCUGUUCACGAAUGUGAAAUUUCUCAGAUGCUUAACAAUAUACCAUCCAUCAGUUGUUCAGUUGUAUUAUCUCUGAUCAACAUUGCUUAGACUGGGUUAAAGGCAUGUUCUAUGGUCCCAAAGUUUUGGCCAAAUAAGCUGGAGGUAGGUGGUUUUGUUAGUUGACAUCCCUAGUAGCAUUGAAGUCUCAAUGGAGAAAGUUAAUCUGGUCCAGAUUGCGGGUCUGUGAGGAUUAUAGUGUUUGAUGUGCUACAUUAUUGUAGUCAGUUCAUUCAUCUUUUAGGUAUUGGUUUACUUUCAAAACUUGGGCUCUUCAUAGGCAAUGCUUAUACAUUUUCUGUUAAGUCAGGCACCCUUUGUAUCCGUGAAAUUUAGAAUGUUGAAUGCCUCUUAACUAUUCCCUUUCUAUAUAAUGUGGUGCGAGUUAUUAGAUUCUUUAGUUUGCUUGUGCUCUUUCAACUUCCAGAUUAACUUAAUUUAUCUUAGUUUUCUCUCCUUUAUUGCAACAAAUGAUGUUGACUUUGGCUGUUUCUGCUUCCCUCUGGUUAUGAUAAUGUGGGCAAGUUGAAAGGGGAGGUUUUUUAAAUAUAUAAUGACAAGUGAAAUUUGACGUUAAAAUUUUUCAACUGAUAGAUGCAUUGCAUUGUGAAGUGGGCUUUGGCAGUGCAAAUAAAAAAAUGGCUUGUUUGGUGAUGCUGAUUGGCAGAAAAAAGAGGAGAUUUCUUGCUGAAGAUAUUGGUUUGAUGUGGUGGGUUGUAGAAGUUGGCCUCCAGUACAUGGUUCUCUCAUGCUUAUGUUUGAUGAGAGCCUGCUGGCUUAGGUUCAGAUUGAAAACUACAUCUCUCUUUUCCCCUAAGUCUAGAUUUUGUUUGGAUCCAUCAUGUGUUUUGUGAAAUUGGAUAUGUCAAUUCUGAAAGAGGGAAAGAUGGAGAUAGGGAUCUCAAAAUUAACUCUAGGGUUCAUGAAACUUGACAUUUUACAAGGGUAAUUUAGUACCUGUAUUAUUGAUUAAGAUGAGAAAACAGCAAAACUGGUUUUUAACAUCACUAUGGUGGGCUUAACUCAUUGUUUUAUUGCAAUGCUCCCCCAAUAUCUGGAAGUUGCAACCAAGAAUUUGAUAAGUGCCCUGGUGGUUGAUGUGUGUCUAAUUCAUUCAUAUCUUGUCCUGGUGGCUGACCACAAUUGCUAGACUUCGUUUUGGUUCGCUUGAUCAAAUAUAUUGUGUUUGUCAGGAAUUUUCCUUAGUUUGACAUGCUUUAGUACUCUUCUACGGUUCGCCUGCCAAACAGCUUAGAUUUAUGAAUGAGUUAUGAAAUAGUGGCUAAUUUACUUGGUAGUUUUGAUAAGUGUCCUUGGUGUAUUUUAGUAUCUUCUUAUCAAGUUUUGUAGCAUUUCGUUCCAUGGUUGGUUAUAAAAUAGUAGUUUAUUACUUACCAUUUCUUUCCGUGGUCCAUCUAGGUUGAGUGCCCCAAAUAUCCAGGAUUUUGCAUUGCAAGGCAAAGGAAAGAGUAUCCGUUCAUUGAAAUAUAUCACAGCCCAGAGCAGGUAGCCUUUGUUUUACUCAGUUUUUGUUCUUUUGGUUUUGAUCUAGUGUAAUUACUGAGGAAAAUAUAGAUGCUUCUCCCAUUCUUUGAUAAUCCAGGCCUAUUGACCUGUAAGCAUAUUUCCUGUGUUAGAUAGACCAGGGUACGAGUACUAGAGAUUUUCUUAUAAAUAUGUCUGAUGUUUUGCUUGCUUCCAGCGACUAGGUCUAAUUUUAUAAAUAUAUUAUCUUUGCUUUUGCUUUUUCUUUUUUUUUUUGGGGGGGGGAUAUGGGGUUAAUUACCUAGGUUCAAAUCCUUGGUUAAUGCACCACACAAGACCAGCCCAGAACCUCCCCCAUUGAGUGGAGGGGUGCAACUGUUAGUGCCCAGGUCUUCUUUCAUUUCUUGAAUUAGUUCCAACUAUAAUGUAGCACAGUUUGGUCAGAUAAUGUCAUUCAAGUUUUAUUUACCUUUUCUUUUUGUCGCCUUGCUCAGACAGCUUGUUUUGGUUGGAUGAUGAGAUUUAUGCUUUCAUAAUUCUGUCAUCAUCUGUUUAUCUUCUCACUUUCUUACCAUUGAUCAGGCAGCUGACCAAGGAAAAUUGGUGGAUCCCAAUAUAAAAAAAUACUCAGUCAAAGUGUUGCCUGUAAGUUUGUGAUCUUGCCUUACCUUCUCAUCUUUAUAUUGAUGUUUAAUAUGAAAAUGAUAUUUUCCUGAGACCUCGUAACAAAUGCAUUUAGUCCAGAAAAUAAAAUUGCAGACCCUUCGUGUCUGAUAUAUUGGUUUAUUCCUGCACUUAUGGUUGGUUAUACUUUCAGGAACCUACUUCAUAAUAAUACCUAGCAUGGUACCCAUUUGAUGUUCUAGAGACCUACAAGUCACCAUGUGUGCUUGUUGGUGGGCAGUAGAUUUCUUCCCUGCCUAGUGGUGAUUAUUAAGGUCUUUCACAUGAGCUACAGUACUCGAGCUAAUAUAGCUCACGAAUUCGGGUUCUCAAUAGUUUUCCUAUCCGAGAAUAUUCAGGGGACUUCCUUGUUGAUUUGGUUAUUUUCAUUAUUUCAAGUACCAUAUCAAAAGGUCCAAAUACUUGGGGCCCAGGGUCCUCUAAGUUGGAAUUUUGCCUAAUUGGUUACGCUCGCAUUCUUGAACUAGGAUGUCUACUUGGGUCCGCUAUGAGCAAGUUUUCCAAUUCUUCUGCCAGAUCUGUACUUGACCUUGUAGGAGUUUGGUAUCUGUCCUUUUGUUGUUGAUGUGGUAUGAAUUGAGCCCAGAUCUACUGUAGAGCUGGAUGUAGGCUGAUGGAGAAAGGAUCAUUCAUGCUUUGUGUGGGGAAAUGUUAUAGGAUAUCUGCUUUCUCAGUUCUGUUGGUAAUUUUUUUUCCCCUUUCAUUUUCUUUGCAGUUUAACUAUGACCUAAGUGCAUACGGGUUUCGCGAAUUUUUCAAGCGGCAUGGGACGCAUGUAUCUGAAACCAGCUAGAGCAGCACUUCCUCUAUCCAAAAAAAAAAUGCAGCACUUCUCUGGUUCAUCCUUACUAUUUUCAAGGAGCCCUUGAAUUUUACUUGAAAAUGGAGUUCCUUCACAUAUGGGAAGGGAAAAUCUCCGCUUCGACUUGGAGUCCCAGUCCCUGAUUAAAGCUUGAACCCUAUUCCCAGCAUUAUGGAGUACGAGCCAUUGCUGCCGCCUGGAACUGCAUCAUAACAUCUAAUGAAUGAGAUAGUAUGUGUCAAGAACACAGCAUUAAUCCUCUGUUCUCAGGGUUCUGCUGUAAUAAUACAACUUUUGUAGCUGUCCAGUGUAAGGAGGAAUAUCUAGAAUGCAAUCUCUAAAUAUUAUUAGAUGACGUACCGAAGAUUGUAGUCUACAAGGUCCACCGAGACCAUGCACCAUAUCACCCAAGUUAUCAUGAGUCUAGCUGAAGAAUUUGCAUGAUCAUGCAUGAUGCUGAAACUAGCAGCCUUUCAGUUGUCAGCGCUUGCAACUGGAGUAUUAAGUCCCAUACUGGUGCUGUGGAUGAUAGUGGUGGUAGCAGGCGGGUCAGGACAAGUAGAUGAUGGAUCCAAUAUCAUGCUGAUGAAUGAAAUGCCAGAGUCCUAAAACAAUUAACUUGGCCUGACAACUAAUCCAUGAACUCAAAUUAGACCUAAACCUAUGAGCCCUCAUACAAGUGUGCGUUUGGUUAUGAGAGAUUUUAGAUACUUAUAUAGAAUAAAAAAAUUAAAUAAUUUUGUAAUAUCAUCUGUUAAGUCUUUUUGAGUAAAAUUUUGGGCCGCUGCUCUUUGAAUAGAAUUUUGGGUCGCUGCAAAUGGUAUCAAAAUAGACCUAGUCUAUAAUUAUCUAAAGUGGAAAAUACUAUAAUAAAGGUGCGUUAAGCUAAUUAUAGUAUUUAUGAUUAAAUUUGAUUGAAUGUAGAUCUUUGGCUUGAAUGAGAAGGCCAAAUAAUAACUUUCAAUUUUUUUUUUAUACAUGUAUUUAGUUCUACAUUGGUUAUGCAUCUAAAUAAUAGUUUUGAUUUUUUUAAUUAAAAUAUAUAUUGAAUUCUUGAUAUAAGAACAAGAAAUUUAAAUAAUACGUUCUAGCUUUUUUUUUUUUUUGAAAAAGAUCCUAAAUAAUAUUUAUAAAAAAAAGCAACAUACAAUAGAAAAAUGCUAAUUUACAGCAGAUAUUUACUAGAUCAAUCCAACAACCUACUCCAAAGUCAACGGAUCAACAGGGGAAAUAAAUGAAUAAAAUGUAAAUAAUCCCCCUCCUAAGUGCCCUGCCAUCUGGCAGCACUAAUACAACAAUACAACAAUUCACAAAUACACAGCUGACGCACAAGAAUGGCCAAAAUUGUUAGCACGAAUAAGAUCAUGAAUAAGAUUAGUCGAUCAGAUCCCUUCAUGUCAUGGAUAAUAGCUCAUCUCUCUUAAUAGAGCUUGCUGAAUCGUGGUGGCCAUGACGGCUCUCCUAGCUUUGGAAAGAAGGCCUCCCUUUCAAACAGGACCUGCAAGGAGCCCAACACCCUCAUCAACGAACCCCAAAGAACUGGGGCACAGCAGAAGGCGUAGGCAAACAAUGACAAGGCCCUGACAAUACCAUCAGAAUACAAAGGGAAUGCCAUAACAAAUAGAGCACCAAAGAUCCCCAUCCAGGGUGCAAGGACAGGGACUGGUGGGAGCAUGAAGAGAUUGAUUACUAUAGAAGCUAGAGCUGAUGAGCCAAACAAGUAGAGAGACCAGCCUAGAAACGGGUGCACGGCACGAGGGAUCAGGAAGAAGGGAAUGGUGUAUGCUGCUAAUAUGGACCAUAAAGCAGCCACCUUGAUCAUGGUGUGUGAGAAGGUGAAGCUCCUCUUCUCAGCUCGCCGGUUGUAACACAGCUUCAACAAGCUGGGCCGUGUCAUCUGGGUAACUGCCAUGACCCCAAGAUACAGUACAGACUGGAUCAGUAUCACCGGCAACUCUAAACUGUACCUGUUCACAUAUAUGUGAAGGAAAACCAGAAACAUAAUGUUAGGUUUCAAGCUCCAUAAAGCAUUGCAUGGUGCAUGUUUUAGCUAGCAAUCUGGUCAUGUUCCCUUCCUAAUCACAUUACAUGCGUCUUUUCAAAAACCAGAAUCACAACCAGUGAUAGCCUUUAAUGUACAUGUCCAUGAAAUCUUGACAGUUUGCAGGAUUAUGAGGCUUGUGACUUACCCAAGAGUUUUUCGACGUUGCUCGUGCCAAGAAAAGCCUAAAGGCAGGACUGGCCAAGACCACCAAUACCAUGGCUUCAACCAUGGUGCACUAGGGAAAGUAAUUACACUGUUUGGUCCACAUGGUAUGCUCCAACGAAGCUUGAGAUCUGUAGCAGUAAAAAGCCCAAAGGAUUGUCUCUGUGACAUAUAUUAUCAGGUAAUGGGAGAAAACAAGAAGGCUAGGUUAUGGUAAUUACAGUAGUAGGAAGCAUCCAUCUGGUAUCCCAAAGGAAGGCGAUACAUGCCAUCUAGCUUGGAACCAUUGGAAGGUGGAUGAAACAUUGGACGGUCAAGCAAAUCUGGGAAGUAGCUGGUGAGGAAGCCCUGAUCUGCACCAUCUGGAUUUUCUCGUCCAGUUUCUAAGUCAUGAAACAUGCUUCUGAAGACCUCCAUUGAAGGCUGCAGCUCCAAUAGAAUAAAUUGUAUCAGAGAAUUCAAAGCAGCACAAAUUAGUUUCUCAACGGAACAUGCAGGGCACGAAGUCCAUAGAAGGUGUGAGCACAAUAUUGACAUAUGCAGGAAACCAAUUGUCCAGGGAAACAAAACUAAAUGGACUGGAAAGUUUUUAUUAUGAAAAGCAGAAACCAUCAAUUUAUCAAUUAGUAUGAGAAUCUUAGAAAACAAAAAACUUUAUUGCAAGGGCCCAUGCUAUUGCAACAAAGUAGAACUGAAUGGGUUUCCUUGUAAUUUUGGGAUCAAAUCUGAAAGUUAUGUGGUUUUAGGAAUCAAUCUUGAGAGUUAUUACAAUCAAAGGUCAAAUUCUAAAUCCAUGUUGAGGACCUUGAAUAAGACUCCAACAAAAGGAAUUGAAAGAUGUCAAAGAGUGCAAAGGUAAUGGUCUCUUUAGGUAGAUGAAUGCCUGAAGAAUGAUGUAACAAUUUAGGACCUCAUCCAAAAUGGCUAGCUGGAAGAUAUUAUUUGGGUUUCUUGAUCCUAUAUAAGUACCCAAGAUCUUUCCAGCGAAUAAUCAACGUGGGACUAAACACACGCCCGCAUGGGUCCUCACAGAUGAGGUAUUAAUUUUCGAGUUAUUAACAAGAUGCAACACAACAUUGUAUUGGAAUGUUUGUAGAAAAAGAAAUGCUCUGGAAUGUUUGUACAAAAGAAAUGCUCGCAUGUUUCUGCAGAACAUAUCUACCAUUAUCACUGAACAAGCUGCUUCAAUCAUUUCAUCUUUGGGGUAACCUUUGUGUUGCCAAAGCUCAGGCAGGCCACCAGCUGGUCUCACAGUAGCUGGUCUCACAGUGUGUCUUGCAGCUUGCAAAGCCUUCAGAGACCUGAGUCCUUUUCUUAAGUUUGCUUCUGUUGUAGUUCUUUCUUAAUGUCGUUUUCCUUUCUCCUCUCUUAUACUAUAUAUAAGCUUUCUUCAAAAAAUUGUGGGGAAUGAUCGCCCUCCCUCUUCUCCAUUCAAAGAAAAACAAAAAGAAAAGCAAAGACGCAGCACGUAACAGUAUAAUCCAACCACAAGAGAACAUCCAAAUAGCUCUAUUUCUGACAAUCCAAAAUCCAUUCAAAGGGCAGCGAACUUUAAAGUUCUUCGAUAGAACAUACUGGAAAGCAAGCAAGUGGCAAGGGAACAUUGCACCUGAAGAACAAAGAGCCCAGUGUGGAAGAUGCAGGGGUUGAUGAAGACAGCACAGAACUGACCACACUGGAAGAGCUCAUCGGUUCUUUGAAGGAAGAGGUUGUCGGAGUCGAGCAUGACAACCCGGUCAUACGCCACUAGGCUCCAUGCAUAAAGCUUGUUCAGUGUCAACUUAAACCUGGAAUUGAAGUUGUCCUGCUUCUCAUAUGGAUUUUUCAAGUUCUCCACCGUAACCACUUUCACACCAUCCUCUUUCCUGUUAAUAUAGAUCAGCAACAAAUCAGAUCCAAAUGGAACUUAAAACAGUAAUUCUGAAUCUGAUUCUGAAAAUUCUGAGUCAUGGAUAAUAAGAAUUAUCUUCUCAUCUUACAAUAUUAAUAAGAAUUAAUACUAAUUAUAAGUUGCACUGAUCAAGAACACAGUGGUGCAGUAACACAUAUAUUUUAAGCAUGUAACAUAUCUGUAAUGAAGUUGAGUAGGGAUUUUUUAUAUAUUCUGUAAGAUCGAGUUUUGUUGGUUAGACCAACAUGGGUUUGUUUAGUUGUUUUGAACCAUGGAUCUUCUGAAGGGCAAGCUUUUAGAAGGGAUGUGCCAACCAACUAAGCCACCAAUUGUUGGCAUAAAUAUAUUUCCUGAGGUAAAUGUAUAUAAUAGAAUAUAACAAUUAAUUGUAUAAUUAUUAGCUUAUUAGUAAAAAAACAAACAAAGAACAUGCACGGGUUAUCAAUUGUCAACAACCCACAUAGAAUUAAUUAAAAACUGUGCAUAAAUCAUCAUUAACACCACAAGAGACAAUUAAUUAAAUUUGCAACAUGUUUGGUUAUGUCAAGGAAUUGUACUAAUUCGGCUCAUAUCCCAUAUAAUCUAUGGACGCUGUAAAUUUCAAACAAUUAAGAUUUUUGGGUUCAAGCCCAAAUCAAAUGAUCACCGGUAAGAUUAGACCCAAUUAUUAUCACGCAAACAGGGGAUUUAUCCACCCAGUUGCAUCAUAUUUCGUGAAAGGGCAUUUCCGUUAAUUUGGAGAAAACCAGGGGUAUAUUCAGAGCCGCAAAAUAGCAGCAUAUCCUUGUCGGUUUCCAGAAAGGAGAAACAAAACCUGAAGUCAAAAUCUUUGGACUCACGGGUAAAACGCCGCGUGGAUUUUAAGCCACGGCAAAAUAACCCCAUAUUUUAAAAAAUUUAAAAAGAAGUUCCAAAAAUUUGUCCCCACUACAACCACCAGAAUUACGAAAUCACUACGCCAGUCAUUUAAUUCCCAAGACACUGAAAAACAACGCACAGUGGCGAUUUCGUGGAUUACUGGAAUCCAAAGGCUUCAAAUAAACAACCUUUAAAGCUCGAGAUUUUAAGAAGGCAAAAUUAAUCUGUACGAAACCGAAGAGUCCACGUGAUCUCAGCCGUCCGAUCACAACUAAUCUCGAAUAAAAUUCCAAAUCGACGCAACCUCACCUUAAGAACAAAAAACCGUAAAAAAAUUCCAAAGCGAGAGAAUAAGCGGGAUAAGAAUAAAGAGCGGUGGGAAUAAGGGGAUGGGAUUGCGUACAGGGAUCGAGUCCAUGGGAUGGGGACGUCGGAGGAGGCGAUGACGACGAGGUCGGCGUCGACGCGAAGCUUGACCAGAGAUCGCAUCAUCACCCGCGUCGCCACGUAGAACUCGUAGUCCCUCGGCGUUCCCAUGUACAUCAUCGCCGCAUACGCGUGUCGCCGCCUCUUCCCCUCCGCCGCCGACACCGCUGCCGCAAGCACCACCGCCACCACCGCCACGAGCCCUAAUCGCCUCCCCAUCUCCUCCCCACAAACGAAUUCAAGACGCACAGAAAACCUAAGCGGAAGCUGAUACGAGCUCCGAUCUCGUCCUCCGACGCCGCCGAUCCUCCUCUACUCCCAUUCCCCCGAUCUCCACCACCGCAAGAGGGAGCGCAGGGCGAGAGAGAGAAGAAGAAGGGGAGGGGAGAGGGAGCGACUGCUCUCUUCAGAGGAAGCGCCUGAAAAGAACUAAUUUGUAAUAUAAAAAGGAGAACUUUGCAUGAAGGCCCCUGGACAGUUUCAUAUUUACGUAAAAAAAAAGAGAUGCUUGGUCCUUAAGUUUUGGUUUAGGUUGGACCACAUGAUUGGCAUGAUAAGAUUAAUGGCACAAGUUAGCCUGCAUUGUUUUUUCUUUUUUUUUCUUUUGAUGAAAGUUAGAGUGUGUUGUUACAUGCAUAUUGGAUGUUCUAGAAAUAUUUUGUUUAAAGUAUGAUCGGUAAGAUGAUCAAGUUCUUCGCAAUGAUUACUUAAAAUAGAAGUAUUUGUUUACUUAUGUUCGUAUGGCUAACCGGACUUAAUUUAGGUUAUCGGCCAUCCUUGGUGUUUUUAUGAAGAAUAAUACCUAAUUUAUUCUUGUAUCUCAUUAUUUAUAUUUGAUUAUACACACAUGCACAUACUCAUGCAUGUAUCCAUGGAUUUGUAAUACAAUCAUUGAAUGACCUUACCACAAAGACAAGUUGGCGCCCUCAAAUAUAUUAGAUAAUAUUUCAAGGAUAUGCGCCUUUGUAACAAAAAGUUUUGCAUUCAAAAUUUGCAUCCCAAAACUCUUAGGCCCAAAUCCAUCCUUCAGUGGGGUAUGGAGGGCACAAGUAUUUGAGCUAGAGCUCUCCUAUUAGGGUUGUUGCCCAUAAACUUCUUUCUACCCCAAACAAAAGAAAAGAAAAAGAUUUAACCUUUUUAAUUAGAUUUAAAAGACUAACAUAUAUUCCUUUUGGAAUAUCCCAUAAACGUGUAAAACAAAUUGUUUAAUAUACCCUCAAUGCAUAAUGUAGGCUACUUUAGUAGUGUGUAUAGGCUUAAAUUAGUAUAUGAUAUUAGGGCUCGUUUGGUUCGCGGGAAGCAUUUUCCCCCUAGAAAUAUGAUUCCUGGGAAGAAGAUUCCUAGGAAGAGAAUGCCUGGGAAUGUACUUUUGGCAUGUUUGGUUUAACAUGGAAAAGUAACAAAUUUUUAGAGUGCUUAUGUUUGGUUGACCAUCCACUUUCUUGGGAAAGUUAUGUGUAAUUCCCAUAAUACCCUUAAUAAAAGUUAGGUCUUUAAUGCCUAUUUAAUGNNNNNNNNNNNNNNNNNNNNNNNNNNNNNNNNNNNNNNNNNNNNNNNNNNNNNNNNNNNNNNNNNNNNNNNGAUGGAGUGAUUCCCGCCUCAUGGGAAAGUAAUUUUUCCAUGUUUCUCAUGGAAAAGACUUUCCCAUGAAAUGUGGGAAUCAUAUUCCCAUGGGAAUACAAUUUUUCCAUCUCUCUCCUUUGAAAACUCCAACCAAACAAGGGCAUUUUAUUUUUUUCGUUGACCACACUUUUCCCCCUUAUUUUUCUGCGAACCAAACGAGCUCUUAAUUUCUAACGUUGGACAGAUUGGUUACAAUGUGUUUGUCGUUUAUAUAUCACAAGUUUUACUCAAGUAGAAUAGUGGACAUUAGGAAAAUAUUUCUUUUUUCAUUGAUAUACUUGCACAUAUAAUCAAGUGAUAGUGUAGAUGUAACCGUUUUAUAACUAAAUAUCAAGUGAAAGACAGAAAAUUAUUCAGGAAAUAGGAAUCAUGCAACCUAGUAGACUACAGAAUUAGUUACAGAAUUAAGUGAUUUCUAAUAACCCAACUUGAUUAACUUAAAAAUGACUGGAUUUAAAAGUUUUGAUGGGAUCUGGUGUUCUAGAGUUGGUAUGAUCACACAUCUUGAUUAACUUCAAAAUGAUUUGGAUUUGUUUCUUAAUAAAAAAAAGGAUUGUAUAAUCUUGGCAAAAUCAAUCAUAGAUAUUCUGGUGAAAAAAUAAAUAAAUACAAGUUCCGACAAACUUAAUUUAGAGAUAUAGUUUCACUCGAUGUGCAACAUUGAUAAGUUUCGCUUGGCUUGCACAAUGAUUUAGUCCAGCCUAACUCACCCACCAUACUUCAACAUUAGCAUUCGGCAUGUAUGGUGCAUGAGAGAAGUAUGGAUAGUAAUAAUCUUUAUAUUUUUGAUAAAUAUAAUUUUAAUUUUUGAUCGGCACGCACCUUCAUUGAGAAUAGAGAAGAGUUAGAACUUAUUUUGAGGGGAAGAUUUUGAUAUUUUCUCUUAUUUUGUCCUUGCUAGACUAAGAAUUUAUAUCCAUUUAAAUCUAAUCACAGAAGCCAUGAUAGGCCGGUGGCCAACCCUGAUGGACCCAUGCUACAGUAUUCCCUAUUCUAUAUAACCAUAGGCCGGAUCCGCUUUGAUACUAUUUUGUCGCAACUCAGAACCCCACUCAAAAAGACUAAUUGGAAGGUAUUAUUUAGAUUCCUUAAUUCUGUAUAAGUACUCAAGAUCCACCAAGCGAAUAACCGAUGUAGGACUAAACGCAUAUCUGCACGGGUCCUCACAUACUCCUUUUAUUUAAACCCUGAUGUCCUCGUUAGGCUAAGAAUCCAAAUCUAUUCAAAUUUAAUCACAAGCACAACGAUUGGCCCGUGGUCGCCUUAAUGAGCCUGUGCUGCAGUGUCCUCUAGUCCAUAUAGGUUAUAAGCCGGAUCUGUUUUGAUACUAUUUUAUUUGCUAAGAUCUCACUCAAAAAAGAUAGCCGAAAAGUAUAUGCCGCUACACUUUGAGAUAAAAAUGGUUAAUCUUCUAUCUCGCAUGCAUUAUUAAGAAAUAUUCUUUAUUCCAUGCAAGAAAACACCAUGUCCAUCCUAAAAGGCCCAAAAGAGUUUUUUAGACAUGCUAGCUUCAAAUUAACACUAUAAUCUUCGUGUGUUGCACCAAAAUACAAGAUUUAUCUUCUUUCCAAGGAUGUCAUCAGUAGAUGUUAGCUCACCUAGCUUUUACCUUCCUCUCCAUAUAAGAGAUCUCAGUUUCAAAUUAUGGUGGCGACCUAUUCUCAAAAAAAUUCCUUCCAAAAAUGUUUUGGAGUACAAGAACCUCUGUAAGAUUAAUGGUGGAUUUUUUCAGAUUAUUUUCACCUAGGUAUCACUAUAUAUAUUCAUAAGAUUCAGUUUAGAUUCCUUAAAGAUAACUGUUCCAAUAAUCUGUGGGAAGAAAGGGUCAAGGAAUAUCCUAUCAUCAUGAUGGAGAUGUGUCCGCAUGCCUGAUGAAUAGAAAAAAGGUCGCCAUGCAACCAUGGUUUUAUUAACAUGGCAUCUUCCUAAAUAUCAAUGAAGCUUCUCGGAUAUGACAAUUACAAGACUAGAUAUAAUAUAGGCGUGCAAAAGAUGGGGAUGCAAGGAUGGAUGCAUGCCAAGCUAAAAUAGAGAGAAUCAUUCAAAAGAAUGGCUAAGAAGGACAACAGAAGGGACAAAGUCAAUGACAAAUUAUUUUAAAAAAUGAAGGCCAAAAAACGCUUAUCAAUAGUCACCAAUAUCUACCAUGAAAACCAUUCCUAUUUUUAUUUACAACAUAAAGAGCAUGGUGUUUUUUUUAUCUCUUUUUCUUUCGAUUGGAAGAGAGACAAAACCACCUGAUUUAUUAAAGAAGAGAAGAAAAGUAUGAGACAAGCAUCUAAUAGGAUAUCUUAGAUUAUUUCGUAUCUAUGUGUCCGUAAAUUGUGACAAGAUUAAAUCCUAGAGUAAUAGCAAGGAUAGUGAGGGAAUAAAGAACCAAAAGUUAUCCGUGGUGCUACUCGGAUUUGAUGACUUUCGGCGCAAAAAGACAAGCAUCCUGGUCGGGAAAUAAUAAAGAGUGGACAAGCAUGAAAGAGAAAAAGAGCGGCUGUUCCGGAGAAGAAGAUGGAGGUCUAUGUUCGCUUUCUAUUUGCUUUGCGUCUGUGCUUGGUUAUGGGAAUAAGAAAAGUGGAAUAAGAAUAAUUCUGCUUAUUGAAAUAGUUAUAUUCCAUUUCUAAUUAUUGUUCGACUAUGAUCCUUGAAUAAUUUUUGAUAGAAAAUGCUUUUGUUACUUGAAAAGUGGGAAGAAAGAGCUUUAAAUAAGAAAUGAUUUAUGACAGCUUUUUCUUGGAAUGAUUAUUUUGCCCCUAUCCAUUUUUUUAAAUACACCAAAGAGUGGAAGGGUAAUUCAGUCCUUAUGAUCAAAAUUAGUGAGGUAACCGAUGCAUUGAUUUAUUCUCUCUCUACUUUUUUUCUCCAACCAAAAGUCGAAAGAAAAUCUAUCCUGUGGAAUAGCUUAUCCCUUCUACACUACAAGGGGUAUCCCUUCAAAACUUAUUCCCUCUACCAAACACGCAGCCUAUCCUCAAUGGGUACUCUUAAUUGCAGGAUAAGGGGGUAUAAGGUGGUUAAAUAUUUUAUGUUUGGAUAAAUAAUUUUUAUCCAUGAUUACAUUGUGCCAUAGUGCAACUAACAUUGCGAUGACUAUUUUUGGAUUAGAAGACUAAUACGGCCUUAACUUUUUGGUUGCCUUUUGCUAAUAAAGGAUCACUUUGAUCCUUCCAAACAUAUGGAUGGGAUAGGCUACUUUAAGCAUAGGAAUGUUGUCCCCUCCUCCUUGACAUGGACUACUUGAGCAUCCUCCACCAUUGUUAUGAUACCCAUCAAAUUUUAUGUUUGUUGCAGAUUAUAUACUUAUAUUCUAUGUCACAAGCUCAAAACACAUCAAAAUGGGGAGGGAUGCAAAGAUUAAAAAAGAAGAUAGCAACAUAAAAAGCAUGCAAAGCAUGUGUGAUUGCAAAAUAAUAUACAGUAGAAUUGUCUUCACCGAAGUAGAAUAAACUACGUUCUACUGGAUGUAUUCGUACCCGCAUGGCAUGAUACACCUGUUUCAGCAAAAAAAAAAAAAGUAGAAUAAACUACCUGCCACUUUGGAGGAAUGAGAUCUAAUGCCAAUGGGACAGGAUGCCCUAGUUCAUCGCUACUGUGUUUUUAUGGAAAAGCUCAUCGAUGCAGUAAACCAACAUAAUUAUCAUUGUGUUUUCUCCACCAUAUGCAUAUUAUGCAAAUAUAUUUCAGCAGGUAAGGCAAAAAACAAUGAACUUCAUAAGCCAGUUUCCAGGAAUUUUUAUUGUGAGGCUUCGUGCGGAGAAAGCAGCAGCUCCCAAAAGAAACUAGUUGGUUCAAAGUGGACAAAUCAAAGUGCUCCAGCAGUUGCAGAGAUCAGAGGGCAGCUUCAGUGUGUGCAUGGUAGUAUCUCGCAUGUCCAUUGCCAUGGCUGAUCAGUAGAAUAUUUCACUUCUGGGCCUGGAACAUCCUUUGCAUGGGAAGCCUUCAAUAAUUCAUAUGCAUGAGAGAGAGAGAGAGACUUGAAUCAAUGUUCAUGUUCUGUAAUCACAUUCUGUUGAGUCAUCCUGGCCCAGUCACAAGGCCAUCAAUCAGGUUUUGCCUGCCAUCAUCAGCCAUCCAGAUCAUCUUCGCGCGGUACCACCCAUCAUUCAGGUCUUGCAUAAAGCUUCACCCAAACCAUUCGUGUAAAACUUGCUUGCCAAUCUAGAAGGUUUAACAAUGAAGAAGAUAUUCUCAGUAGGUAUGAAUAAAAUAAUGAAAAGAUGAAAAUGUUUUCAAAUAGAGAUAAGCUAGAGUAAAAAUGGCAUCCCCUGAUUCAACAAUUCAGCAUGCAUGCAUGCAUGCAUGCGUGGAAGCACGAAAGGAGGUUGAUGUCCCAUAAGAAUUAAUAUAGGAGUUAAUGAAGCGAAAUUAGCACUUCUAAAAUCAGUAUGAUCACCAUUCAUUAAAGGGGAAAAAUAUCACUAUGAUCAUUACAGGAGAACAAUCACAAACAUAUCCUAUUAGAAAUCAUAAAACAAUUUUUUUUUAAAGUCCAGCAUUGCAUCUGCCCUUCACUAGAUGGAGGUUGACUAAAAUUCGGGUUCAGUAUUUUUUUUAAUUGUAGAUAAACAAGAAAAUUUGCUCUGCAUUCCUCUACAAGAACCAUCAAUUCAAUUAAAAAAAAAAAUCAAAAGGCAAAGCACCUUAACUUUCUAGAAACUAUAGUUCAAAGGCAAAUUAUUUAAAAAACAGCAUUCUUAUACAUAUAUUAUCGCAUGCAGCCCAAAUGUGCACAACAGUUCAAUAGGCCAUCUCCUGGAUGGACGAUAAGCCUGAAAAUCAUAUUGAAUGGCUGAUCCUAUCCAUUCGAAACUCGGUAAUAUCAUUGAUCGUUAAAUGAAAUUAAGGCAGGAUGACCAUCAAGUAGUUCGAACACCUGAUAAAAUCAAUUCAGGCACCUGCUAAACCAAGACACAUCUAGCUAUUCUUGGCCAGUGAACCUCGAAAGUUACUUCAUGUAGCAUUGCAGAGCCCAAAAUUUCUGUAAUGAGGAAUUGAUGACAGGAAGAAGGGAAAAGAUUCAGGUGCUCUGAUCUCACCUGGUAGCAUCGUUUAACAGAAAAGCGAAAAACUGGCCACAAGUAUGUCCUCCUCUGGGUCAUACCUGCAGACAAUUUUUUCAGAAUUUAGAACUGCUUCCUCCCAUUUAACCACGUGAAAUACCAUACUAGAGGGUAUCAUUACAGGAAAGAAAUAUUUUCAUUUUAACUGCAGAUACCUGAGCACCGUGCAAAACAAAUCGCACCUUCGAGUGAAGCAAGCCAUCCAAACAGAGGUGAUUCUAGCAACCAGCAAAGUAUGGCAGUCAACCUAAAGAAUAAUAAUUAUGGCAAUCAGGCAAAAUUUGCAACACCUGUGCCUCCCACAAUUAAAAGUGCAGCCAAGCCAGUACCACUCAGACAAGAAAAAUGGCUACUCAUGAUCCAAUAUCACUCCUCAUCAACAAUACUAGGGAUAAUUUUUGGAAGUAGCCUGAAUGUUCCCAUUGAAGUUGGAGCACAAUUACCAGAAAACUGUGAUAUCUCAUUCUCCAGCACAGAGUAAGCAUCAGCAAAAGCCUGAGACCAAUUAUUUAGGUGAUGAGAUAUAAUUCAACAAAUCAUUCUUACAAUAAAAUUAACUUAGAUAUGGUAGACGAAGAUCAUCAGUGUUAAUUCUCAAGUUAGAUGGCCCUAUACAUAUUUUAUGCUAGUAGGUUCAACCCUACUAGCAGGAAUACUCAGUACAGCCAACUGUAUGUAUACAAAGACAUGGAGUCGUCAUUAUCAUGAUCAUCCAAAGCUUUGCCCACUAAAAAUAGGGUCAGCUAUGGAGCACAACUUUUGGCCAAAAAGAUUUGAUAGAAGAAUUAAGCAGACCUUUCAGCCAGUUGUCAACUAGACAUACAACCAUCAAGAAAACGGUGUAAAAUUCUUGACCAAAUCAACUUUAGUCCAGAGAAGUUAGCUGGAAAAGUUUGAAGACCUGAACCUGGAAGGCUGGUCAGAAGAAUAUUGUGUAAAUGUUACACAAAAAUGUUUUGUUUUGUCAACAGAGCUAACCAAAGAGCAACCCUUGGAAUAUACGAGCUAGCUCUGGCCUUAAAUAGUUUUUUCAGACCCUGUUUCAGUUCCACUAAGGUUGCUUGUGAACUGUUUUUAUCACUUAUUUCCAUCAUUUCAAGAACUAUUUUAGUUGAAACUUUUAAACUUCCUCAUUAAGGAACAAUUUAGACAAUUUAGAAUUGCCUCAGUUGGCUGAAAAUGAAUCAUACUUAGAUAUAAGGAUUGGCAAAAAUCAAAAUUUUAGAGCUUAUAUAUGUACAGCAGUGGCACGGAAAGACAUGGGGAAGCUUGGAAUAAUAUCAGAUGUAGCCUUAAAUAGGAAUACUUGGCGAAUGCGGAAUUGUGAAGCCAAACCCAAAAAGUUGGAAAAAGGUUUGGUGCUUAACUGCUUAUGGUUAUGUAUAUUACAGCAGUGUAUUGAAACAUUAAUAACUUCUUGCAACUUGCACAAGAGAAAGUUAACUUGAUCACAACGGUGAUAGCACACUUGCAACAUAUGGACUAGCUUUUCCAAAACAGAUUGGACUAACAAAAUCAUCAAUUCCAUACACAGCAUGAAAAAGAGAUGAAACCAUUUAGCAACAAUUAAUUGAUUACUCAUAUGUAAAUUAGUUACACCAUAAGUAAUAAAGUUAUGAUAAGUUGAAAUGACCAAGCUAUGUGACCCUGUAGUUAUGAUCUCAGAAUUGGAGGAUUGGCCACCCACUGUCAUACACAAACAGAACUUUGCAAUCUAAAACAGGAAAAUAAAAAUAGUUUGGUAACAAUAAAAUAUCCUGUCGGAUAAUUAGGAAAGACUCAGCCCUUUCUGAAGAAUCAAGACCAAUGAACACUGUCUGAGCUGAAUGACAGUUGGCAGAUUUCAGAAACUUUCCUGAAAAAAAAAAUAUGCAGAAAAAUGUCCAAAUUUCAACGACCAUGUUAGUUGAUUAAGGUGCUAGCAUGCAUCAUUUUUGACGACUAUCCUAAGAGCCUCUUCUUUUUUGUCACAUUAGGGCCACUAGGUAUAUACCAAAGAUUGAGCAAAUAUUUGGAAUGACAUCACCUAAAGCAGAGCAACAAUAUUAUUAUCUUCUUCUCCUUAUUCCCAGAAAAAUUAAGCUGCCAAAAUUGAGACCACAGUCAUAUUACAUGACUAUGGCUUUAAGAAAUCUAACAAAUAAUGGAUGAAGUAGUGAAUAUUCAACUAACCUUAAUGCACUGGUGUAUACGAAAGCAAUUCCUCCCUACAUUGUUAGCCGGACAGAGAGGAUCAUCGAUAUGAAUUGGAUCAAUGCUGCAAAACUCACAUAACGAAAUGAUUCAGAUAUUAGCAUCCAAUAAAAAUAUAGGAGGUCAUGUUCAAUCCUAUAAGUGAUUCUCAAACCUGAGCCCUCUUUCUCGAUUCAUAUAAACUCCACUUCCUUGAAUUGAAAUACGCAUUUGACGUGGGUCAAAAACAUUCCUAAAGUCAUCAAAACAAAAUAUGAUGUUCAGUGAUACAUUUGACUCUCCGACUAGCCUGAAACCAGCUAAUUGAAUCAUACAUCAAUCUUGCAACACAGUAGAAACUAAGUUGCCUAUCUCUGUAUAUAGCUAAAAAGAAAUUGCAAGCAAUUUUCCCUCACCCAAAGAAGUAGAGAAAAUCCAUCAAAAGGCUACCCAGGUUCUGCAAACAACAAGUGAUUUAAAUCAUACAGCUGAAGUUGAAUAUGAAGAUCAUUAAAUGCGAAGAAUUAAAACCACAGUCAAUCAGGUGCAUAACAUAUACUUAAAUUUGUAGCCAGUGGCAGACAAGCAGGAAAACAGAAACAAACAAGAAAAGUAAACAUGAGUAUUACGUAGCAGUUAAGUUGUUGUCAUCUCAUCUUUGUGCCAUCCAUGGAUACAAAAAUUACAUAUCAUCAGACACCAAAGGUUAGGUUUUUUUUAAAAAAAAGAAUCAAACAACUCAAUAUAACCUAGGAGAAAUCUGCCUUUCUUUGCAAAAACCUUGCCUCUUUACCUUAGAAGCCUUGUCACCAAGGAUCCAGCAACUUUUGUUCUGUCGUUUUGAUAUUCUAACUCAUAGCACAGCAUUUCUUCUACUCAGAACCACCAGCUCACAUAAAAUCAUGUUAUAGAUGCACAUUUUGCACCCCUUGCCACUGGCGAAAGGAGUUGUCUAUGGAUACUCUCUAAAACAUGGAGCGGAUGCAAAAGUGACUUAAUAAUAAUCAGCCUCCCACGAAGAAACAGAAGCUUGGCUUUUUAGUUAGAAAAGCACCUCAUGCCUAUCAUAUCUCAAACAGUCAUGUCCCAAAUACCUCAUCCAAGGCAAAGGCCCAAGUAGAACAUGCAAAAUUUUCUCCAUAGAACUGAAAAACUGCUCCAUGAGAAUGAAUUAUCACAUAGAAAAAGAAACAAGCAGAAGUCCAGUAUUUUAGUGCUUGAGAGCUUCUUAUCAUAUACUUUCCACUGUGUAUAUAUAAAAAAACUUUUCAGAUCUAGCAUGAUGCUAACUACGAUAUACAAAUGGAACUUAUAAAUUACCCAGUUCCAAAGGAAAUCAAUCAUUGGUUCAAUGUUGGAGAUGGACAUGUGGAUAGUAACAUAAAUAAAGUAAUUAUACAGACUGGUGUUUGAUGUCAAACCAUGCUCAGCAAACCAUUGGAAUUACAUGCAUGGACAAUUAGAUAUAUAGAACACCAUCAACAGCGGUGAAUUAUUUCCCUUACUAUUGUAGCUAACAAAAAGGUACGAGCUUUACCUGGUUAAUAGGCCGACCAAUAUGGUAUUCAUGCUGAAGAAAGCGUAUAAUUAGCAACACCUGCACAAAGUCCAUAACAACAUAUUAGGGCAAUUACCACCUUAAUACAAUAUAUAUUGAGUAGUUUUAUGCCUCUUUUCUAAUAAACAGCUAAACUCUGCAUUGCAUUAGCUCCCAAAAAAGAAAAAACAUUUUUGUUUAGAUCAAGGUCCGCCGUACCGGUACCGGUCGGCGUACCGGUGGCGGGCCGGACCGGUACGGUACCGGUCCGGUCCGGUACGUACCGGCCGGUAUCGGUACAGUACCGGCCGGUACCGCGAGCCAAAAACCACAGCGCCUCGCGCUGUGGUUCAUAAAAAAAAAAAAUUCGUACCGGUGCGAACCGGCCGGUUCGCACCGGUAUGAGGCCGGUACCGACCGGUACGGGCUCCGUACCGGCCGGUUCGCACAAGAAAACCGGAGAUACCGGUUUUCUUGUGGUUCCGGUACCGGUCUAGGACCGGACCGGCCCGUACUGGCCGGUACGGGCCGGUACGGCAUUCCAUGGUUUAGAUCAUUGAGGAGUUUAAAGUCUGUUCAGUUGCAUGAAAAUCCAUGGAAAAGGAAAUGCGAGGCUUUUCCACAGGAUUUUUUUUUCUGAGUUCUGGCGAUAAACUUUCCAAACUUAUCAUUUUUUCCAGUUGAAACAAACAAAAAGAAAACAAGAAUCUCCUAGAAAAAUAAGUUUUCCAAGCACUUUUCCUUGCAACCAAACAAAUCUUAAACAAAAAAUUAAGGAUAAAAAUUGAUUAUUGUCCAGUCCAAGACUUACACUACCUCAGGAAUUCAUGAACCAUGAUUUAUGUUAUGGUGAUGUCACAAAGCAAAAUUAGGUUCCCAUAACAACAAACUGUUCAUGUGUCCAGAAAGAGCUAAAAAUAUUUCAAAAUAAUUACAAAGAUAUAAAAUGUUCGAAGAGUUAAUAGGAACAUUUUAAAAUGUAGAAUAUUACCAUCAGUAACAAGACUUUUAUUCAAAUAAAGGACAGCAUAGAGGCUUCACAGGCAUUAUUUUUUAGAUCACAUGCUCUGAAUCUUUUUUAGCGAUGUUACUCUUAAUGCUUGCCAUUCAACUAAUGUGGUUAGAUCUCUUUAUGCUAAACUAUUGAUGCAGUGACGCAGUCAGAUACAAAGAGAGAUAAAAAGGGGCUUGGAGCAGACCUAUUUUGGGUCCUAAACAAGGUCAAAUAUCCAGAAAAUAAUUCUGCAGAUCUUUGAAAAAAGAAUAGCAUGUAAAAUAUGGCAACCUGAUAUAUUUUGUAGUUUUAUAUUUGACAGAGCACUUGACUAUGAUUAUGCGAGGUUUGAUGGACCACAUCCUCAUAUCUUUAUCUAGCCUUCAAGAGACCUGAUUAAAUAUCAUAAAUCCUCAUUGCUCUCUCAUCCAUCUAGAAUACAUUAUUGUGUUUCUUUCAUCAAUUCCUUAGCACAGAGGCAUAACAAAUUGAUUGUUCUGAUCUUAAGUUUUCCUUCCUAGGCUACUAGUAAGACUCUAAACAGUGUUACUACCAGUAACUUCUAACUGAACGGAAAAUUAUUGAUAGAUUUUGUGGAGUCCAAUUUUCCUACUCCACUUCCAGUCAUGACACACUCUUUAUUCUUAUGAUUUCCAACUUUCAUCUACUACUCAAGGUCAGACUAAGGCCAUUAAGUAUACUACUGAUCAAAGACCAACAGAGGUGGACAACUCCAGUCUUCAGCCUUUAGCUACCCAUUCGAGUCAGAGGUCCAAGCAAUGACAAUUCAUCAGUUUGGUAAGCAAGCAAGCAUGUAAAUAGUAUCUUAUUUCAAAUUGUGCCCUCCAAGCAACAACUCUCCACAUAAGAUUCCUUUAUAGUAAGCAGAGGUUAGAGUGUUUUUUUUGGGUAUAUGCAGUUAAGCAUUCCCUUUAUGGAACCAUUGACAGGCUCAGAAACCAGAAUUGGUGACCGAGGCAAAGACAUAUGGUGUGAGUGAUAUGUAAAUGAAAAAUGAAGUGAUACAAGCUAAGAGGACUAGGGCUUUUUUUUCUUUUUUUUGGGUUGGGUGGGAGGCUUGACCUUUCUGCUAAGUCAAAAAGAUAACUGAUUCUCCACUUAAGAACAAUAAUAUCAGAAAAUAUAAAAAAUAUUCAAGGAAAACUAACAGCACAAAAUUAUUGCAGUCCAAUUGAACUUUUUUCAUGUUCAUUGGGAAAUUAUUUUUUUUAAUAGAAUGGCAAAGAAAAUGCAGCAUAACUUACCAAACAGUAAGAACUCAAAGCACCCGAAUAAGACUGGUCCAAACUACGAUCUGACAAAAACUUCUUCAGUAUCAAAGCAAGGGGUCCAGCAGCAGGAAACUGCUGAGUGAGCUCUCUAACCUGCAAAUUAAAAUUAAUAUUGAAUUUAUGCUAGACAUAAUAAUCAUUGUUAUGCCAUUACAAACUUUAAUGGUCAUCCUUCACACUUCAUUUGUCUGAAGGGUCAUAUCUAUACAUGGCAUGACCAGGUACAGAUUGACUCCAGUUGCUUCAGGUUCUCUAAGUGCUUUAAAGCUCAUGGCAUUACUAGGUCCCAAUUGAGUCCCCUGUUUGGGUCAAAUGUCAAAUUGUCAAAUAACAAAAUAGAUCAACAAGCUAUUGCACCACACUGGAAUCAAUGCCUUAUUGACGAAGGCUUGGGAGUACACCAUAACCAACAUAUUCAAAACUCCAUCAAACAACAUAAAUAUUGUUAUUAUGUAUACAACAUUAUCUCUGUCUCAAGCUGUCCACAGUCAUCAUCAACCCUGCCCCUCCAACCACACCACUCAGCCUUCCCCUCCCCUCUCUUUCUCCAAAUGAGCAAGAAAAUGAUCCCAUAGAUACCCAACAACCACCUGGUUUCUGACCAGACACCUGAUUUAUCAUAAGUCCCUCGUUACAGACGUGUAGUCCACUAUCAAAUACGUCUCUCUCUCUCUUUCUCUUUAAAUGAGACCGAAACAACCCAACUGAAUUCAAUAGCUAUCCAGUAGCCAAAUCAAAUCCACUAUCAAAUGUGAUGUAGGAUUGUAAUUUAGGUUUGAGUUUGGGUUCCCAAUUGAAUUCAAUAGCUAUCCAGUACCCAAAUCAAAUCCACUAUCAAAUAUAAUGUAGGAUUGUAAUUUAGGUUAGAGUUUGGGUUCAAUUAUGGUUAGAGAUGGAACAGGCCCUAAGCUGGCCUCUGCCCACCCCUAGAUAUGGUAAUGGUGCCUAAGAGUGACUGACACUCAAGCUUAGGCUCCAUAAUCUUUAAUAUUCAUUAAGUUCAAACAAAUUGAGCAUGCAUUGUCACCCACUUAACCUAUAGAGAUAUGGGUUCAGUAAUAUAACAAUCUCUUCCUCCAUAUAAUUUAAUAAAUAAAUAUUCAUAAAAAAUCCAAUCACAAAACAAUUAAAAGUCCAUAAGUUGGUAAUGAAGCAAAAAUUGGAUUUAUUACAUCAAAAUAGUUUUUUCAUUACUUAAAAAGUAUAUGCCAACUGAGAAAAUCAACUUGCCUAGAUCAAGUCCAACAUUUUAGUUUGUACCAUAAAUUCUCGACUUCCACUAAAAAACAAAGAAAACUUAUCCAGAAAAUAAAAGAAAAACACUAAAAGUUCACCUCAAGCCAAUUUGUCAGGCCAUCUAAAGUGUAGCUCACCACAUAUAGUCACAAAUAUGUUCCAAAAACACAGACAAAACUAUAGUAUGACAAAUAGCAUUCCCUUAAUUGCAUACUCAAAAAGCGUAAGACCUCACAUCUAAAAGAAGGAAGAAAAUCCAACAUAAAAAAAGGAAACGAACUUAUCUGCAAUCAACAAAUUAAAAAAUGUUGAAAAGCUAUGGAUUACCAGUUCAGAAGUUUCAAGUCCUGUGUGUGAUGGUGACUUGAAGCUGAUAUCAAGACGAAUUGAUUUCUCAUCAACAGCAACAUCCUUUUUCAUUUUUGAACACAUUGGCCAAGAGGUAUUUGCUGAACUAGACAGAUCUGGACAAGGGAUGCUUUGCUUUCCAGGCAUCUUGGUUGAAUGUGCUUCUGGUGUCUCCACAAUGGAAGAAUUGUCAUUUGAAAGACUAAUGUCAUGAGGAACAUCUGCCACAAGCAUGAUGACAGGUAUCUGGACACCACAAAUUUUGAUAAAGUACAUAAGUUGACAGUGAGAUGAGAGAGUCCAAGUGUCAAGAAAAGAAAGAAUUGGAAUUAUUUUAAGAAAAAACAUGAGAAAGAACGAGGCAUAACUGCAGUGUUUUCUAUUGUUUUUAGGGAGUCAUUUCUAACCCACUCUUGGUUUGCAAGGUACCUAGCUGCAUGCUGGAACAAAACCAGAAGAGUAAGCAGUACGUGAGAAAAGCCACAGAACAGAUUCUAAUGAGAAGCAUUACUUCAAGGAAGCAACAAACAGAAUCUCAAAAUUCUAUUCACUUCAGCAACAUAGUCAAUGGCUAUAUCUCAAAAUUUUCAACUAAGCUACACCUAGGGAAAGACACAGGUGUCCUGACAAUUGUUAUCCAUAAUCUAUCAUUUCUCAAAAAUGUAGUAUCAUGGUUCUAUGGAAAUUAAACUCUCUUCUGUGAGUCCCAGUAAAUGACAAUAUGCAAUGGAAAACUGUGGCCGUAGAGCAUGAAGAGAACAAAUGAUUUUCUGUUAGCGGUUUCCAACAAUCCAAAAUUCUAACCAAAUGUACUAAAUCUUCAAAAUAUAAAAGGUCAGCUGACAUUCUUUAUCGAUUAUCUAUGAAUACUUGUAUCUAUGGAAAAAGUUGAACCUUGAUUUAUAAUUGAGGCAGAAAAUAUAUGAAAAUUCAAAGAAGCAACAAAUGUUCCAAUGAAAAAACAUCUGGAUAUUGAUAAAUUGAGGGGAAAAUAGUACCUCUCAGAAGAGAUUUUUUUUUUUUGGGUACAAACUUCUCAGAAGAGAUCAAACAGAUGAAUUUUGAACAGCUUUAUUCAUCCAGAAAGACCAAAUAAUACAAUGUCAUUGGCCAGUAUAUCCUUAAGAAUAUUUAGCAUAAAGUAAACCAUUAAGGAAAAAUGCAAAGGCUUAGGUCUGCAAGUAAAAAACCUAAAAACUGAAGAAAUGGAUUGAAUUGGACAGAAAUCAACCGUUAUGAAAACUUUCGAUGAAGAACAAUCUUUUUUUUUCAUACACAAGAAAAAUCUAUUUCCGUAUGCCUCUUUGAAUUAAAGCAAAAUAGUAUGCACAAAAUGGGCAUUAAAAAGGCCAUGAUGUAGGAUUUACGAGGUAUAACCACAAAAUCAGGAUCACAAAAGGAUAGUCUUAAUUCCUGGUUUGAUGUGCCUUCAGGUUUCAUGUUAGAGGAAUGGUUAUGAUAAGUAGAUAAUUAUCAACUAGAACGACCACAGAUAUAAACAAUGACACAUAUGCAACAUAACUUGUCUGCACAGAAGCAAAUCAAGCAAGAUACCUGAAGGCAUGUUUCCUUGAUACCAUUGCGACCUUCCAAAAUUCCAGCUUCUGUGAUGGGUUCCUGACAAACAACUGCACUUGUUAAAUUUGAAGUUUCAACAGAAUCAACUGUACACAACAAUGAUGAGGAUUUUUCUUCAACUUAUGGUAUGUUUCUCACCAAAUUCCGUACUGGAGGGAGAGAAACCACGAGGUCCACAUCACUAGUUGGAAGAGCUAAACCAGUUGCAUUGGAACCAAAUAUAUUUGUCCGAGAGCGAGGCCAGAUUACCUGAAGAGAUCGUGUGACCCUCUUGACAGCCCAGUUAGUGUAGGGCUUCCUGAUCAGAUUCUCAGCAGCAACCUUCGAUUUACCAUUAAUGAUGAACCAGCAAUUACCUUGGAGUCAAGAUGAUAAAUACAAACAAAAAAAAAUUAAAAAUGAUAAUGCAUAGAGGAGUUAAAAUCUUGGUAGGCCUAUGAAGCUUAUUUGUGCUAAGGAUGUCUUUAUAUUUUACUAUUCAUGAACUAAUUGUAUAUGUAAGGUUCACUGUUCAACACACAUGCAUCUUGAGUAACGAUAUUAAAUGCCUACGCAAGAGCAACAGUACACAGUAGUGUGAUGUCCAAAGUGGGUAAGGCAAAAUUUAGAAUUUUUGAUAAAUAAAAUUUACAAAAAUUUGUCAAAACUGCCAUACCUGCUUGCAGAAAAGAUCAAUAUCCUCGUGAAGAAGAUUGUGCAUCAGAGACACAGAUGUCUUAUUAGAUGGACAAUUCAAUAAAUCAGGAGGUUGCAAUGGUAAGGCAACAUCUGGCUGCAACAUCAAAUUUUCAAUAAAAGAUCAUAACAUAAACAAACAAGAUAUGUGAGGAAAACUAUGAUGAUAUAGCCCAUACAUGUUCCUGAUCACGAGCUAGCUGGGAAAUUGUAAUAAGGUGAUCUUGCAACAAAGACCCGUGAAUAGAUUGCACCAUUGAAGAGGUAGCCAGCCCUUUGUUUCGCCAUGAAGGCCAAACAACUUCAGCACCAUCCCAACAAAAUCGAGUUUCCUCAGAAUUACUUUCAUCAGAAUACCAACUUCUCAUACCCCAAUGGCUAGGACUUGAGCUACCAGAUCUUACAACUGGAAAGCCCCUCUUUCUAGAUUCUCCAACUAGAGAAGGUGGAGGAGGUCGAGGUAGUCGAGGAACACAAAGUACCACUGGUGAUGGAGGCCGCUUGAUGCGAUGGGUCUCCCUCUUAGUAGUAGGUAUACAUGGGCUUUUAUGAUCAUGACCAACCUUAAAUUCAGAUCUCGAACCCCUCCUUGAUAUACUUGGAACAAUGAUCGGCCGCAGCAUUGAAUAUGGAAGUGUGUCCCCUUUCACUCCCUCAAAACCAUUAGGUGGAUUAUUCACAGAUAUUGAGGCUUUCUCUUCAGGACCAUCGGAUACUGAAGAUGAGGAGUUCAGUACCUUUCCAGUACUGUCAUUUCCUGGCAUAGCAUAACCAACAGACUGGUGUCCCGGUCCCAAUGGAUCAAAUGGUGAACAAAAUGGGGCAGCAGGUGGUGAGGGCAGACCAUUCGAAUUGUAGGAAGCAGAUAAUCCAGGCGUGCCAACCAUAUCAUCAACAGCUCUAUUCAUAUCUGCUUCAUGCCAAGCCCAAGCACUCUCUUCAGAACUGUGAGAAGGUGGGCGAGAGAAACCCGUUCCAACAUGUUCAGCAGGAUUCCAGUACAUUAUUCCACCACCAAAAAAUUGAUUAUAAUCCUUUCCAGAAAAUGCAUGAGUUUCAUAUUCUUCUACAGAAAACCAGCAGCUUUCAGUAUCAUCCACCAAAUCAGAAGUGUUUUUCAAAUCAUACAUAUCUAAAAUAUCCCCAGGAUGCUUUCUCUCAUUCUCACCGGAAGUCCCAUUAAUUUGCAGUCCAUAAGUAGCAAAUCCUGGGCAGAGUGAAGACUGCAUCCUUGGAUCAUAUCCAGAAUCAUAGCUUACAGUCACAGUCUGACUCAAUCUACUACAAGUUUUGACCAUAGGAGGCCAGUCAAAACUCAUGGGCAAAGUUAGAGAAGGUAAAAUUCGACUGCGCCCACCUUCACUUGAUGGCUUUCUUCCCUGAUGCCUGGAAGGCAGAAAGGACUGAUGAAAGUGACUGGGCCAUUUAUGACCAACAUCCUGAUGUAAUCUGUCUGUGGCAGCUGGGAGAUGCUGUGAAUGAACAGAUGUAAAAUCAGGAGGCGAUAUGGUAGGCCACUCAUAUGAAGUGCCUCCCAUGGAACUUGUGUGGUUUCGUACAUAAGAUUCACUACCAUUAUUCUCGAUUAUGGAACUAUUCUCAUCCAUAAUACCUUGAACCAAGUUUGGAGGAGCAACAUACUGUGAAUGGGUGUUAUUUAUAUCCUGGGUACUAUCAUGCUCAUGUUCCUUAAGCUCGAGUGUAGACACAGCAGGGCUCAUAACUUCACAUGCAGUAUUGCUACUGGAACAACUUAUGGAAGAAUUAAUACAAUUUACAAGUUUGUCACAACAAACAUUAAUGUUUCUCACAGAAGAUCCUGAAGAUAUCUGGGAGAUGCCUUCAGCCAUUUUAAUAGAAUUAUAGUCUUCUGAAUUGUUUGAACUCAUAUUACAUUCCACACCAGUAAAACAGAAAUCUGCAAUAGAAUGAGGGUCAGGAUCUAGCUGGAUGCUCAUCAUUUCAUUGUGAUUGAUGAAAUCAGGCUUAACAGAAGCAUCACAUAAAUUAGAAACAGGAGACAGACUAUGCCUGGCAGCAGAAUCAUUGGGGUCAGGUAAAGAUUCUGUCAGUUCACUUUCUGGAGCAACAGAUGUUACAGCAGUUUUCUUGUUAUCAAAUUCAGAAAAUCCAACUUUCACUAAGCCAGAAUUUUUUACUUUUAGCUCCUUUUCUUCCACCUUUUUUCUUACGUCUAUGGCCCUUGCUGUCAGCUAAACCUGCAGCAUGCUCCUUUUCUUCCACCAUUUUUUCUUACUUCUAUUCCUUUUUUGUUAACGGAGUUUCCCUCCCAGGAUCUUUCUUUGGAACACAAGGACUAGUUGUCCUUGCCUUCUGAUUAUCCACUACUGAAAGAGUGCUUUCUGGGGGGCAAAGCCCCGAGCUGCUAUCAUCUGCACAGUCUUCUCCACAUCCUUGAUCCUGAAAAUGACGUCAGUAAAUUAAUUAUCACUAAGUUGUGUCAGAAAGGGCAAAAAAAAAAGAAAAAAGAAAAAGGAAAAAGUUGCUGAAAGUAUGUGGAUACCAUAGAAGUUUUGUGUAAUGUUGAAUCAACCUUGGAUGGCUUAGAAGUAGAACUUAGCUUUCUUGAACUGCGACAUUUGUUCUUCCCUCUCCGACAACCAACAUUGCACUUCUCUUCACUUUUGUGUGGGAGGGCCUUUAACUUUACACCUCCCAUAAGUUCAAGUUUUAUAUAACUAAUGGAAACAACCAUGAGGAGUCUUCGCAGGUUUCUUAUUAUACAAUCAGAAAUGGUGUCAAGAGAUUCUAAUGUGCUGAAAAAUAAUGCCUUGUCUUCAGAUUCACUAAGCCAACAUGUUAAAAAAGUAGAUAUCUCCUGAACCACUAGCAAUCUGUUCAAAUAAUUGGUCAGGAUUCGUGGUCUUCUAUGAGAUGGCACAGUGAUGAUAUCCAAGGACAAAUCUAGAUUCCUUCUGAACAAUGACUUCUUCACCCUUUGCCAAGAUGCCAUAGGACCAUAUCUUAGUUUCAGUUCAUCUUCAAGUUUACAGAAACAAAAUUCAUUCCUCAAAGCAUUGUUUGACCCUUUAACAAUCUCAUUUGCCUGAAGAGUUACAAUGUUCAAAUAUUAGCAAUUAUUGAUGCAUAAAAAGAAAGAUGUUUACCAGCAAAGCGCCAACGAUAAUAAGCUGAAAUUCAUCUCAUUGAUAAAAUACGAGAAAUCAAGAUAAUCUCUGUAGUUCCACAUAAAAAUUGGCACUUUUCUUCGUUGUGUCGAUCAAGAGUUGAAGAACCAAUGCCGAUACCUUACAGGUAGGGUAUAGAUCAGUAUAAUUGGUUAUUGUGUCAACAGAUAGUAUGCCUCUUGCUGCCAGCACAAGAAAAAUAAGAUUAUGUAACAUGUAUUGGUACAGUAUCAAGAGGCAUAUUGAUACCAGUACAGUGAGGUAUGGUUAGUACCACCAAUACUUAAAUCCUUGGCCGGUCAUUGACAUGAGGCAAAAGAGUGGAUUUAGGCACAAAACAAGGAGAAAAUGCUUCUCUCCGCUUAUUCUUUAUCAAAUUAAUAAUAAGCAUCAUGAUUUUCACUUCUUUUUUUCGGACAACAAUUUGAAUCUUAAUCUGAUUUCUUUGGAAAAAGUAUAAUAAGUCUCUUCAGAGUUAACUUUGAAUGAUAGAUAAUUGCAAGCUGACAACUUUUUACAUGAUAGAUUUCUUCACUCAUAGACUAAUCCUGUGACUUCAUGUCUUACUUUAUCAAUAAAUUUAUAUAUGGGUAAAGAGGAAGCUUUAAACCAAGUAUAAGGUAAGUCUGCUAUAUCAGAGAAAGGCUCUCAGAUCUCAUCCACAGAAGUUUAAAGAAGCAUCAACAUCCAAUAUAUUUACCACUCAUAUUUCAUGAUAGAUUGCCAGUUUACAAAAGAAUGAAACCUAUGAUCCAACACCAGAAGAUCCUUUUCUCGGCAAGAAAUUCCCAAAAAUGCAUGCAGCUAACCAAAGAAGAGUGCUAUAAUAUCAUGGUGUUCUAUUUUAGGCCCAUGAAUCCCAACUUUGCCAAUUGGAUCAGGUAAUGAGUAAUAACGAAUUAUGCUUUGGAAACAAAGACCCUUGUAUAUACAAGAUAUCAGAUCUCAAUUUACCCAUGUGAAAUAAAAAAGAAUAAUACCGCUUCUUAUAAUAAACUCAUUAGUGCUAAAUAAGUCCCCAGUUAUUAGUCAAAGGACUCAACCAAAUUCCCAUUUCUCUCCAGAAGUGUCUUCAGUAUGCUAAGCCAUUUGCUCUCUCUCUCUCUCUCUCUCUGGGGGUGCAGGAGGGGUGAAGGGAAGGGCUCAUGCCCAAUGAUUAUUCCAUAUACCAUGAAAUAUAACAAACUCAUUUAGUGGAUUAGUACAGUGUGCAUGCAGUUCAUACAUAAUGCAGACACACAUGGACUAUAACAAGUUGGCCAUAUGCUGUAGAUGUAAGCUAGUUCUUAUUUUGUAUUCCAUAUAUAUCAGUGGAAUUAAUCAUUCUCUCACCUUUUAGUUAGCAUGCUUUAACUUGGUGGUCCAUGAAGAUUUCUCAAGAAUGUGGGAACUUUCAGGGUAAACAUUUUUUAAAUAGAGUUGGGAGGGGGAGAAUGGGAUCUAAACUAAAUAUCAAAACAGGAAAUCUAGACAAACCAAAAGAAUGUUUUCCAAAAAAUGAAUUAUAUUAGUUCCUAGUAAAGGCAUAGCCUACAACUUCAUCACCACCCAUUUCAUGUUCUUAAGCCAUUUCUAUAAAAAAUAUCUGAUCUUUCUCUUCACAAAAGUAAAUCAUGAGUGAAUCCUUAAUUUCUAUGGCAUGACAUCAAAGUUGGACCCUCAACAGAUUCUGUACCAUGCUACUUCAAAAGGUCAUUUUCCUUAGCAAGAGGCCACCUGAGUAACUAGUUGGUAGGAUUAGCAGUAAGUGCACAAAAUGGUGCAAUGAAAUGAGCAAGCUUGCAAUGCAACACAAGCCACUGUCUAAACCAGCACCAAGGAAGACCACGUUGGAUAUCCAAUUAUUGAUAAAACAUACAUCCAAUAGUUGUGUCAACCAAACAGCAGGAAGACCUUCACGAGUUCAGCUCAACAAGUAAUUCCCAAGUAAAACCUGGUUCCAGGUUCCUGCAACCAUUCUGACUCUCUCUCACUGAGAAUUGACAAGUAACAAAAUCAUACGGCAAGACUUUGAGGACAAAGGUGCUUUUGGUAUUCAGGAUAAGAUUGUAGCACCCCUUCACAUCCUCUGAUAUGCUUUAAGAUGCAAGCGCUGUCAAUUGACAUGAAGAACCACUUUCAUACACUGAAUCUGAAUCAAAAGUUAGCUAAACUAAACCUUCCCUUUCACGAAAAAUAAAAGAUCUCAAUUCUCACAUGGUUCAGAUUUUAUCAUUAGUUAUUCAAAUAUUAAAGUUCUCUCUUUUCUUUUUCGUAACAAAAGUUUUCCAUUAAUGAUCUUAAAACUCUUACGGUAAAAACAGAAACUUUGUAGGAUGAAUUGGGGAGUAAAAACCAAAGCUACAUUGGAAAUCCAAGAUGGUAAAACAAUUACCAGAAAUUUCGCUGCUUUCCAUAAAAAAGCCUGAAAAAUCUUCUCUCUGUCCGGGAUCCAACCCCAUCCACCAGUCCAGGCACCCCUUCUUCCUCCAAAAGGCAUUGGCAGCUAGACCAGCGACCGCAGCCCUCUCCUUCGCUGCCUUCCUCCCCUUCGGAUUCUUCCCUCCAUGGGAGCUAAGCCACGCCAGCCUCAACGCCACCUCCAGCCGAUUCGCCACGAAUGCCUCCAAGCUGUAGUACCCCUUAUCCUUCAACCACGGCAGCUCCGCCCAGGGCGCCCCCAACCCACUCUCCUCUUCUCUCAGGAACCUCCCACCGGAGAUCCCAUCCAUGACCUCCACGAACCGGUCCGCGUCGACGACCAAGUCCUCGGAGACCGUGAGGAAAUCCAGGGGGACAGUCGGCGGUCUGCUCGCCCUCCCGGGACCCGAAGAGGCGGAGGGAGCGAGCGAGGUCAAGCUCGGCGGUGGAGGAGGCGGCGGCGCGGGCGAGGAGGCCGUGGUAGCGGCGGAAGCAGAGGGAGGGGAGGGAGGGGGAGGAAGAGGCGGGAAGGUCAGGGAGGAGGAAGAAGAAGCCGUGGCCGUGACGGCGGAGGCGGGAGAGCAUCUGGAGGAGGAUGCGGACGAAGUCGGGGUCGAUGACGGUAAGGGCGGACUGGCGGUGAGAAGCGGAGAGGGAGGAGAACCACCUGAGGACGGCGGCGCGAGGCUUGGGGUUCGGGUUUGGUUUUGAGGAGUGGUAGAGGGCGAUAUGGGCAGUGAGGGAAUCGAAGAGCUGGUGGGCAUCCAUGGCGGGCGGCGGAGUCGGUCGGAAAGUGUUUGUUUGUGUGUCCGAGAGACGCAAAUGGAGGUUGGUGGAACCUUGGGAGGCGGGGUAAGAGUGGGACACCUGGCACAUUAGUUUGUGUUAUGGAACCAGUUCCAACCUUCGUUUGCACCUCAACAUCUUUUUUUUUUAACAUAAUAGAAUAGAUAAUUAAAAUAAAAUAAAUAUAAUUAUUUAAUUAUUUUUCAAAAUACUUUUUAAUAUUAAUAUUAUGAUAUAUUAUUAAUAUACAAAAUUUCGAUAGCAUAUGCAAAAUUAUCAUUAUAAUAAGAUAAUAUAUUAUCAUAAAAUAAUAAGAUCAUAAUCCAAUUUGUAUAUAAAUAAGAAAUAAAAAAGUAUUGUAUGUCUAGAAUAUAUAAAUAAAAUAUAGUAGAAUUAUUAAUAGUUAUGCUUUUAUUUUUAAAUAAAAAUAUGAUCACAAAAAUACAAUAAAUUUUAAUUAAAUAUUAAUGCAACAUAAUAUAGGUACAAAUUUAAAAUAUUUUUAUUAAUAUCAACAUAUAUUAGCAAGUAUGGUUACUAAUAAUAUCAUUAACUUUUAUAUUAAUUUCAUGAUGCUUUAUUUAAUAUAAUUUAAUAAGUUAAUAAGUUUCUUAUUAAUCUAUUCAUAAGCUUUUUAUUUAAUAUGGUAUUAAAUAAUUUUUUUAUUAAUAAUGUUAUUAAGAUAGAUACCGAGAGCUUUGCUGAAAUAAAGCCUUCAUUUUAAUAUGUGUGUGUGUACACAUACACACAUAAAUAUAUAUAUUAAAUAUAUUAGAUGACCCCUAACAUUUGGUAUCAUAACUAUUUUGCUUCCAACCUAUAAAAUAAUUGCCGCUAAAUAUAUAUUUUCACUGGAUAGAUAUAGAUACGUUAAUAUUAAUUAAAUAUUAAAUUUUUAUCCAUAUGUAUUUUAACCCGUUACAAAUACAAAUUUAUAUUUUUUUAUCUUCUUCCUCUCUACACUAAAAUCCUCUAGCCUACGUUAUGGCCCACAAAAACUCUUGCCACGUUUUUGAAAAGUUAUCCAUAAGCCUCAACAUUACAUACAUUAUGCUUUCAUAUCUCAUUGUUGAUUGGACAUAAGAUCGGCAAAUGAAAACUUUAUUUAUUUAGUUAAGUCUUAAUAGUAGAGUUCCUUUCUUUAUUAUAAUAGAGAUUGAUAUCAGCUAUUACUUCACAUUAAUAAGUAUCCCAAUUUACAGAACAUGUAUAUUUAACGGCUGAACACGCAUCAGCAUUACCAAGCCGUGCCCGUCUCACAAACAGAACAGAGAUCAUUCAGGAGAAAAACAAACUAUAGAGUAAGCAAUUAAUAAAUAAACGUACAGAUGGUUUAAAGACAUCGUCUUCUGUGGAUCCAAUCAAGAUGAUGAGAAUGAGGAUUUAAUGGUGACUUCGCCAGUUGAAGGGUCAAAAAAUGCCUCAAUCUCAGCAAAGCACUCAACGGCAUCGACUGCCACAGGCUUGCUCAAAAGCUUCACUCCUUGUUUCCAAUAUCUGCUAUCUGAAAUCAACAGUCCCACAAGAAUGAAAAUAUAAAUAAAAGAAAGGCGAUACGGCUUGGAAUAUCUUGGAUUUUACACAAGUUGUUUCUUCAUUAAAAGUUUUAAGGACAAUGAAGUAUUGCAUCAGGAAUACUGGAAUGGAACAAGUGAUUCAUAAUGAUGCAAACCUGGCCCAGUUGUCAAAACAAUGGAAUUUUUUUCAUCCAUCACCCAAUCAAUCCAAAGUGCAAAACCAUGGCAUAAUCCUGGCUCCGAAAACUCAAUCUACAUAAAGAAUGAAGAGGUUGGAAUACUAUUGCUGAAGAAGUAGAAAACAACAUGAUCAGAAUGCCCUUUAGUAAAGUACAUGGAGAGUUGGCUAAAAGCGUAUCCUUUGGAACGAAAGUUCCUGGUAUCAUGCCAUUGUUCAUUUUAUGUAAUUUUUCUUCAUUGUUUAACCAGUUGACUUCAUUUUUUUCAAUUUUUUUGCCAUUUUGUAUCUUGCACAUGUGUGAGCCACACCUCUCCAGUUUUCAUUACCUCAGUACCCUAUUCUUCUUUUCAAUUGUUUUCAUCAAUUUGAAAUUUUAACCUAAUCCUCAGCAGCAUCAGGAUCUUAAUUUCCAAGACCUGUCAGUAACUUCAAGGCCAGGACAAUUAACCACCUCUCAUAUUUCAUUGUUAUCAUAUCUUUGUUCUGCACCCAUCAGACCUCCUUUAUUAGUCCAUACAAAUGUAGGUUUCCUGUUCUACAAUAAGCCUUUUCUUUUGAAAUUUGUAGAUUAUAUUAUAUUGUAUGUGAGUGGCUUUUUGUAGGCUUUGAUAAAAAUAGCUUUUCUAUUAUCUUUGGUUGUUGGGAAGUAAGAAACUUUUUUGUUAUUUGGAAAGACAUAACUAAGUUGCCACUUUCUGCUUAUGGGUUGAGUAGCUUGUUGAUAUCAAAUUUGAUGAGUGCAAACAAUGUGAGAAGCAUGCAUGGAAGCAAUGGAAUUGAAAGAUCUGAAAAGAUGCGACCGGUGAAAAUUAUGGCUUUAUUUGGGAAGGUACAUAGUCCAAUCUUGGCUAAUUGAAAACAUCAAUAAUGAAGAUCAAAUUUAAGCUAUAACUGUCUGAGAAUCGAAAGGAAAUCCUCGGGAUCAAUGAUAUAGGUGGCACAAGCUGUCUGAUAUAUGCCAUAAUUAAAUGGAUUGCAGGCCAAAAUUUGUAAAGGCCUGUCACAACAUUUGGGAGAAAGACUGCUUCUACCUGUUUCAUUAUCAGAAGAUCACCUCGAAUCAAGUACUGGACUAGAUAUUAGUUGCACCCACCAACUCAAAGCGUGUAGACUCUUUUAUUAAUUAUAACUCUGAAUACAGGAGUUGACAAAGAAGUUUGCCAAAGAUUUACUCAGAAUUUAAUGAGAAAUCCUCACCAUUUUCAUGUAUAAAAGUAAAAUUUCAUAUGAUGAAUGUAAAUCUGAAAAAUGGGCAAAUGAAUAUUUUAGCCAGUUGAGGACAAUUGGAUAGCAUGCAAUAUAAAAUAAAAAUGGCCAACAAAAACAUGCAUUGAAGAUCAAGUAUAUAGCAUCUAUUCAGGAAAAUGCACAUAAGGGCUACACAAAGAAGCCACUGAACAAAAAAUACCUUUGUUUUUCCAAAACAUGCAUGAAUUGGCUCUGAGAAAUUAAACUCCAUGAUUGAAAUUGCCUCACUAAGUUUCUGUUGGAUAUUAAGUGAACAAUCACAUCAGUUUACAAGAAUAAAACCAAUCAUUUAUAUAAGUCAAACUUAUCUUCUACAAUUUGAUAUACUUACCUUAACCUCACCACAUUGCCAUAUAUAAUAAGGCAGACAAGGACCUUCCUGCAUUGGUGGUAAGUCGCCACAGGCCCCUAAAGUCUCGUUCACAACUGAAUGGUCAAAGCCUUCAACAUCUUGGAGGCAGCACUGACUUCUCCACAAGUUCUGCAUAAGAAAAUAAAUUUUCUAACACUACAACAACGAGAAAAGAAAUCACCGGCUUCAAGCAAUCAAUUUAUAGAAUAGAAAAAAAAGGAGGUACAAAUAGAAAAGAAACUCACCGGAAGUGACAUGGCACAAACCUUCAAGGUUCCUUUACAAGGCAUGAUAAAUACAUCCUCAGCUAGAAUCGAGUCAAGCAGAGUCCUCUCCUUCCUUCAAUCAAUUUAAAAUGAACCAGAAUGCUUAGGACUAUGAUAUAAUGUCAUACAUAAGAUAAUAGAUACAGAAAUCAAAAGGUAGCCCGCCUUCUAUUGUUGGCUUUAUCGUGCAAAAAGGUAUAAUCCCUUGAAUACUGUGACAGACUCUCAUUGCGUUAAGGUUUACAUGAGCAAUUCUACUCUUUUCUAUGUCAAGUCCUCACAGGCACAAUACAAAACACCUGUUUAGCUGAAGGGACAGGUUUCGACCUUAUUGGCAUCAUCUAUUUGCUAGUGUUGCACCAUUAUUAUAGCAUAUUGAUCGACUGUGUUGUCAAGAUUGACAGAGUCAUAAAUCAUAGAGGAAGCUAGAUCAGACUGGGAAUGUAUCAAAUUGCAGAUGGUAAAAUAUUCCUUUUCCAGUUUCUUCAAAAAUUUAAAAAUAUAAAAGAAAUGUGACCGGGAAAAAAAUGAGUCAAACACAAAG
rnacentral:lncRNA from 1 species